CUACUACACUAUUACUGCUACAUGUUUAGCAUUGAGAUGCUAGGCUAACUCCCUUUAUCACAACAGUCUUUUCCAUCGGUUUUAGAAGCAGAAAGUAACCCGAUAAAUGGUCUCGUCCAUCACUGUUGUUAGCGACGUAUCAGAAACAAUGCAAAGAUUACGGCUUGAGACUUUUGUAUUUAAAACAAAACAAAAAAAAAAGGAAAAUGUGAUUCAAGACUGGCAGCUUUUUAAAGAUGUUUCUUGCUUACAAACCCUUCUAAUAAUUCUCAGACUUUUUAGGCAGCAACAAUCACUCCCAUUGGUCAUUGCUGAUGUCUUUCCUGAAGCUGUAAACUGAAGUCAGUAACUGAAUGUUCAAACAUCCAUUCAAACCUCAGGCACAAUUUCCAUUAAAUGAAAGCAGAGACGUGCUGUGAAGACCUAAGAUGGCUGCCAGCAAUGACAUGACUAAAAAUAACCCAACCUGUUUUUGUGGAUCAGCUGGGUGACGGCACUUCCCGGGAACGUCGGCUCAGAGACCACCGGAAUACCUCGCAUUCCUGCAGGGAGUAGCUGUUGCCAGAGCUUUAAGAGCUGAGAGAUCAAGAGGAAGUUCCUUCAGCCAUUUUAAACACAUUUCUGGUGCUGACAGGGCGAAUCCAGGCUCUGGCCGCACUUCCAGCAGCAGUAAUGUUGCAGAUGCCACGUCCGUCCGUCUUCCGCCGUGAUAAACGAC